rnacentral:rRNA from 1 species
CCUACGGGAGGCAGCAGUGAGGAAUAUUGGUCAAUGGGCGUAAGCCUGAACCAGCCAAGCCGCGUGAGGGAUGAAGGUUCUAUGGACCGUAAACCUCUUUUAUAAGGGAAUAAAGUGUGGGACGUGUCCUAUUUUGUAUGUACCUUAUGAAUCAGGAUCGGCUAACUCCGUGCCAGCAGCCGCGGUAAUACGGAGGAUCCGAGCGUUAUCCGGUUUUAUUGGGUUUAACGGGUGCGUAGGCGGCCUUUUAAGUCAGCGGUGAAAGUCUGUGGCUCAACCAUAGAAUUGCCGUUGAAACUGGGGGGCUUGAGUAUGUUUGAGGCAGGCGGAAUGCGUGGUGUAGCGGUGAAAUGCGUAGAUAUCACGCAGAACCCCGAUGGCGAAGGCGGCCUGCCAAGCCAUGACUGACGCUGAUGCACGAAAGCGUGGGGAUCAAACAGGAUUAGAUACCCUUGUAGUC